GCUAUUGGAGUUCGAUUAAGCCAUGCGAGUCGAGAGUCUUAGGAACUCGGCGUACCGCUCAGUAACACGUGGGUAACCUGCCCUAUGCUGGGGAAUAACCUCGGGAAACUGAGAAUAAUGCCCCAUAGUCCACAAUGCCUGGAACGGUUUGUGGAUCAAAGCUCCGGCGGCAUAGGAUGGGCCUGCGGCGUAUCAGGUUGUAGGGGGUGUAACGUACCCUCUAGCCAUCAACGCGUACGGGUGUUGGGAGACAUAGCCCGGAGAUGGAUUCUGAGACACGAAUCCAGACCCUACGGGGUGCAGCAGGCGCGAAAACUUGGCAAUGCGAGAAAUCGUGACCAGGGAACUCCAAGUGGCUGGGGUAAGACCCAGUCUUUUCUUGACUCUUCAAAGGUCUUGGAAUAAGGGGUGGGUAAGGACGGUGCCAGCCGCCGCGGUAAUACCGGCGCCUCAAGUGGUAGUCGAUUUUAUUGGGCCUAAAACGUCCGUAGCCUGUUUGGUACAUUCGUGGGUAAAUCAACCAGCUCAACUGGUUGAAUUCUGCGAGCACGGCCAGACUUGGGACCGGGAGAGGUGUGGGGUACGCUCAGGGUAGGGGUAAAAUCCUGUCAUCCUGAGCGGACCACCUGUUGCGAAGGCGCCACACUAGAACGGAUCCGACGGUCAGGGACGAAGCCUAGGGGCACGAACCGGAUUAGAUACCCGGGUAGUCCUAGGUGUAAACGCUGUGGACUUGGUGUUGGGGACUCUCCGAGAUUCCUCAGUGCCGAAGCGAAGGUGAUAAGUCCACUGCCUGGGGAGUACGGUCGCAAGGCUGAAACUUAAAGGAAUUGGCGGGGGAGCACCGC
rnacentral:rRNA from 1 species